rnacentral:lncRNA from 1 species
UUCGUUUUUUCCUCAAGCCCUUUUCCUGAUGUCGCCUGUAUCGAAUUCACACAAUGUCUAGCAUGUCAUGUACAACAUGGACAUCAAAGUCGAUUCAUCGUUGUGCCGCAUCAAAUCUCUGCAUUUGAAAUGAUAAGGCCAAACGUCAAUCAAUAUUGGAAUGGCGCCAAUCAAAUUGGUGACAAACGGGAUUAAGGUGAACCGACAAGUGUUCUUUCGAGGGCUUUCAAAAAUGAUGCAUUGAAUGGACACAACCUCUCAUUCCCUUCUUUAAGACAAAGGGAUAUAUAUACCCUCUUCUCUCUUUUCCAUUUAUUCUGUCUCGAUUGCUUUUUAGUUUUCCGUAUGCAUUUUCUCUUCCUCAUUGUCUAUUAACAUCGUUAAUUAAUGUUUUUUUGCAGGGUCUAAACAGAGGUGGUCUAAAGCGGUGGCAAUUUAAGCCCGGAGAUGAAUUCUCCUUGGAUUACAUGGUCUCAAGGAUUUCUUUUCUUAUCCGAACAAUUGUUAGAUUUUAUUUGAUUUUUUGAAAUCAUUAAGGGAUUCAUGGUCAAGUAAUAUCUCAUGGUCUUCUUAUUUUUUUAUUUUCAUUUACUUAUCCUUUGAAACCCUAACUUUGAUGGAUUUGUGAUUUUUUGGUUUGAAACUCUUUCAAAUAUCAAGCAUGG